rnacentral:rRNA from 1 species
GACGAACGCUGGCGGCGUGCCUAAUACAUGCAAGUCGAGCGAAGUUUUUCUGGUGCUUGCACCGGAAAAACUUAGCGGCGCACGGGUGAGUAACACGUAAAGAACCUGCCUCAUAGACUGGGACAACUAUUGGAAACGAUAGCUAAUACCGGAUAACAGCAUUAACUGCAUGGUUGAUGUUUAAAAGUUGGUUUUGCUAACACUAUGAGAUGGCUUUGCGGUGCAUUAGCUAGUUGGUGGGGUAAAGGCCUACCAAGGCGACGAUGCAUAGCCGACCUGAGAGGGUGAUCGGCCACACUGGGACUGAGACACGGCCCAGACUCCUACGGGAGGCAGCAGUAGGGAAUCUUCCGCAAUGGGCGAAAGCCUGACGGAGCAACGCCGCGUGAGUGAAGAAGGAUUUCGGUUCGUAAAGCUCUGUUGUUAGGGAAGAAUGAUUGUGUAGUAACUAUACACA